rnacentral:rRNA from 1 species
UACGUAGGGUCCGAGCGUUGUCCGGAGUUACUGGGCGUAAAGCGCGCGCAGGCGGCCCGCGAGGUGUCACGUGAAAGCCCCGGGCUCAACUCGGGAGGGUCGUGGCAAACCGGCGGGCUUGAGGCCGGUAGAGGUGGGUGGAACUCCUGGUGGAGUGGUGAAAUGCGUAGAGAUCAGCAGGAACACCCGUGGCGAAGGCGGCCCCCUGGGCCGUACCUGACGCUGAGGCGCGAAGGCUAGGGGAGCGAACGGG